rnacentral:lncRNA from 1 species
UAUCACUGAAGCUAACAAUCUAGAAAUAUAACAUAUAUUUGCUGUUUUAGUCUAUAGAAUGAAUGUGUUUGGUAUGUGAAAAGUAAUUUGUGAAUUAAAUAGUAAAUGUGUUAAAUCAGACCCUCCAGUAAUCAAGUAUGUAGGAUCUUAAGUUAAUUAAGAAACAGAUUCCUUAAGUCCCCUUGCAGAUUGCCUUUAAGAGGGUGCUUCUCAAAUGCAAACACAAAGACAGUGACUGGGAGCAGAAUACAGCUUCCCAGAAUAUGCCACUUGGGCAUGUAGAUAAUUUCAAGCUGAAAAGGAUCAGGGCCCAACAGACUCAGGAAAAGCUUUUACCUCUACUUAACUAACUGCCUAAAAAAAUUUUGGUAGGGGGCCUAGCCCAGAGACAGAACUAUCAGCAGAGAUACUUUUUUAAUCUGAAAGUAUUAUCUGCAUGGCCUGCAAACAUCUGAUUACCAAACUGACCUUCUACUCUCCUGUGAACGACCUUUCUUCCCCCUAAGCUCCAGGCCCCUAUUCAUUCCUUAGCUCGGGAUGGCGCAGAAGCCUCAGUCGCCUGACUGUCUUUGAGUCUCAUAUUUUGAUGGGUCUCCCAUAUGUAUAAGAUGUGUUUUCUUCUGUUAAUCUGUUUUGUCAAUUUAAUUAUUCUAUCCACCAAAGAACCUUGAAGAGAAGAAAAAAAUAUAUUUCACCUCUACCGCAACACAAUGCUUUUAUUGAUCAUCUGCUCCAAACUAUGAGGCAUUGAUUGGUUGUUCACUCCAAAUUAUGAAGUCUAACUUUGAAUUAGGUGACUAGCGUCAGACCAGACCUGAGAACCCCAAGAUGAGACCCCUUGCAUUUAUCUCACAGGCAGUAGAAAGUGAGAGGAUGUUCCACAGAAGUGCGACUUUGGAGACUGAAGAUAUUUACCUCUUCCCUAUUUUAGCAUCAAUAGCUAAGAGAGUCAUUCUUAAGGUCAUAGUGUAGAUAAAAGCUAGUAAAUGCUUAAAUUUGAGACAGUACAUAAGAAAAAUAAAUGAAGGGAGAAUUGUCAUAAGUAUGUCAUGAGUGAGAUACAAACUAAUUUAUGUAAAAUCUAGUUUCACAUAAACAAUCAGGAUAUGCAAAAAUAUACUUUUUCUGUGCAACAAUUGUCUGGAAGUAAAUAGUAUCUACCUCCUUUAGAAUGGCAAAAAUAAAUGUUAUUUGGCUGCAAUCCCUACUACUGCCUAUUGCAUACCAGGCUUGUUUCAUUUUUUUUUUUAUUAUUAUUUUGCUUCAAUUGUACCAGUUUUCUUAUUCCUUUUGGUGCAUGACUUUCCUGCCCCUGGUUUAAAGUCAUCCUUGUGGAUAUUUAAGAAAAAUCACCCUGCUGUCAAAGUGAUAUAACCUGUUCAAAGUAGAACGAAGUACUUCAAGAGAAAUAGUCUGUGCGACAGAAAGGUAGAUUUUCUUAACUAUAAGUGUGUGAACUGUUCACUAACUUAAGUUUCAUGUAAUACAUUAAAAUACUCAACAGAUCUGAAGUGCCUACUUUGGAAUAGUUCCUGGGUUAGACCUUAUCCAUGACUGUAAAAAACAAAUUCUCUGACUCUGAUGGUUUGCGGGGCUAAAGAAGAAAAGAGCUCUUGCAAACACAAUAUAAGGAUUGCGAUAGUAGAAUAUGGGCACUCAGGGAGAAAGCAGCUUAUUAUGCAUAAGUGAGCAUGUGGUUUGGGGCAGGGAUUUAGGUGAGGAUGUUCAAAAAGUAAAGUUUCAUAGCACCAGGGAUGCUUAAACUGUAUUCAAGAACUGUAAUUUUAAAGAACAUGAGAAAGAAAAGAGCAGUUUGGGCAAAGGGAACACUCAUACUUUGGUGUUCACUGAUGCAUUGGUGAACACACUCACAAUGAUAAUAUGGUUACAGGGGUAUUUAUGCCUCACACAAAUUAAGAUCAUUGAAAAAUAAAAAUUGCUAGUUUGCAAACUGUUCUGUUCACUCUUUAGGUUCUGGUUUUAAUGAUUAUCUUCUGAUAAUAUUAUUUUAUGAUUCUAAUUAACUUUUGAUCAUUUUAAAGAUUCUUCAAACCUAUUUGCAUAUAUAGCAUUUCUAAAAGAAUCAGUAGUAAACACUUGUUAAAUAUAAGCUAAAUGUCUUUCUUCUAAGCUUCUUAGCAAAAGACAGCAUUGUCCUGCCUCUCUUCAGCAAUUGCAAAUCGUUCAGGUUACACCAUAAAUAAUGUUUUCAAUUUUUAGUGAGAUUCUGACUUAAAAUAGAAGAUCACGGUAGGAUCGAAAAAAUAACAUUUUACAACAUCUUUUAAGUCUAUUUUACUGUCAUCUAUCAGUUAUUUGAAUAUUAGUAUAAGCUUUAGUUUGCAAAGCAAUGCAUUUUAGAGAUGCCCUUUCCUUCCAAUGUUUCUUUUUUUGACCAUACCCAUGGCAUGUAGAAGUUCCCAGGCUAGGGAUCGAACCUAUGCAACAGCUGUAACCAGAGCCAUAGAGCGACAUUGCCAGAUCCUGAAACCACUAAACCACAAAGAACACUCAAAACUAAAACAUCUUCCACCAGUUUUUGCAACUGUAAUUUCUUUCCCUUAGUUGAAAUUCAUUAAAGUAAUUCUGUUAGAGAGUUUGGCAGAACUAACAUCAGGCUUUAAUUUCUUAGGGUAAGUUUUGUAAAGAAUUUUUCUGUUCUUUGGCUAAGAACUGACAUUUUAUGUAUGAUUAAAACUUAAUGUGCUUUAGUUUGGAAAGAAAACUAUUGAACAUAUUGUGUGAAAACAGAUUUAUGCCAUAAAAUGUCUCAAAUGUAAAAAAAUCAAUGGUGUCAUGCUUCUUCUCUUAAUGUUUUUAUUCUGAUUUUUCUCUUUAGUACUUGCUCCUGCUCCGUCUCUUGAGAUGUGGAUACUUAAAUUGAAUAAAUUCAAUUACCUCUCAGUGCCUCUUUUGUUUUUCAAAAAACUAAUUAGAAGUUAUUGAGUUAAAAACUUUUAGUGGUUUCAAAAUAUAUUAGCACUGUGGAAUGUAAAACACUUGGAUAUAUAAACCUUCUGACUUCUAAUCUAGACAUGCAUAUGUUUUUCAUUGAAGCGAAUAUAUUUAUUAUAAGAGUGUAAAUAUAUAUCUAAAUCCUUUAAGGAUUAACCAAGGUGAAUCUAAGAAUGGAAGUAGGAUAAAAAGCUUAAGCAGAAGCAGCAUUGGAAUAGUAAGUCCUAUUUAUCCAUUUAUUACAUUUGAUGAAUUCUUAAUAUAUGUGAGGUAUAGUACCAGAGUCUGGGAAUUGGCAUAAUUCUUAUACUCAUAGAGCAUAACAUCCAAUGGAAGAAACGGGAUACAAAAAAUAUUUUAGGCAUCUAGUUCUUUCCUGGUUUUGUAAUGGAAACAUUUAAGUUCUGUUUCUUUCUUUGGGGAAUAGAUCCAUUGAAAUGCUUACAAAAGACACAGGUAUCAGAAACUAAGGCCCGCAUGGAGCUCUUUUAAAGGUUAGAUACUUGUGACACAUAUGAAGUGAUAAUCUCCCUUUUCCAAGGGAACCUAGACCCCUAAAACACCAGGACCUAGCUCUGGUGUUUUGUUUGUUUUUUUCCUUUUAAUAUUUUUAAGGUUUCUUCCUAUGGAAAUAAAUACUGUAUUAUUAAUUUACUUAUGAUGUAUCAUAAUGGUCAUUUUGAUAGAUAUAUAAGGUAAAUGUGUAGAGAAUGAUUAAGCUACAUAAAGAGAGAAAAACUUAAUCCAGUUUGAGAUGAGAGUGAAGCUUCCUAAGGAAGUGUUAUUUAAUCUAAAUCUCAUAGAAUGAAGGGGGAUUUGCUUAGUGCUAAAAAGGAAGGAAGACAUGCCAAGAAGAAAUUAGCCUAAGAGAAGAUCCUGAGUUAAAUGAAAUAUUGUGCUUCAGAGGAACUGAUAGAAAACUAUACCUAGAAGGAAACUGGGGAAGUAGAAGAGCGAUGGCAGGUCGUGUGUGCGUGUGUGAGUGUGAGAGUGUGUGUGUGUGUGUGCCUGUUUGUGUAUGUUUAUAAAUAGGAAGAGGAAGUUGCUGAAAUAUUUUAGACACAGGCAUGAGAUGACCAUGCUUAUGUUGUGAGCAGAUCUUCUGCUUGCCUUUUGAGGAAUGGAUUAGUUUAGAAAAUAUAUGGGGACACUGGACAGGAAGCCAAAGCUAUUGUUGAUUGUCUUCUAGCUUGAAGAGAAGUAGAUGGGUUUGAAAAAUGCAUAUAGAAAGUAAAAAUGAUAGAUUUUGAUGAUGAUUAAAUAUAGGUGACAAAAGGAGGCCACUGUCAAGGAUUUUUCUCAUAAAUCAAAUAAAGGAUAGACUUUCUGUUGUAUAAUCUAAGGGGAGAAAUUCCCAUUGUAAAUUUUGCUUAACAUAAGGCAUAUCUCAUUCUAAAAAAAAUAUCAAAUCAAAUAAGCCACAAAAUCAAAAUUAGGAUGUGGCUCUUAGUCCCUAUAAUGUAACUUCGUUGCUAUUAGACAAUUACCUGGAUAUGUUGCCUAGUCAGGAAGUCAAAUACACUGUUUAAAAAAAUAAGAAAUUCAUAUAGAGAAUAAUUCCAAUGGGUGCAUACAUAUACAUACACUUUCUUUAGAUUCUCUGCUAGCAAAUAAUUUUGUUCAACUUAUUGAGGUGUCUUUUCAGCACAAACAAAACAAAUCAAGGAUACAGAAACUAGUUGCAAAGAAUUUUUUAUUGCAUCUCUUAACAAAAUGACUUAAAGGGAUUUUACAGUACCUUCUAGUCUAUCAGCUUCCUCUAGGCAUGCUCCAUAUGAUUAUGUCGAUGCCUUAUUCAUUUUUGCCUCCCGUGUCCCACAACUCCUGGCCAUGCUUGGAAUGGUGGUCUGUGUGAGUAUGAAAUAAACCCUGCCUAAGAUCAUGAGGCUGAU